rnacentral:ncRNA from 2 species
UCUUUGUAGCCCGAAUUUGGUUUGGAUUUGAUAAAUUUUAUUUUUUAAAUCCAAUGAAAAGGGAAUCGGGUGAAAUUCCCGGACAGUCCCGCUGCUGUGAAGCUCUAUAAAAGUUCAAGAUUAUGAAGUCACUGGCAUCUUGUUGGGAAGGCGUCUUGAAUUGGAGUCAGUCAGAAGACCUGCCAUGUUCGGUUGUGAUUU